GCGCAUUUAGCUCAGUGGGUAGAGCAAUCGCCUAGGGAGCGAUCGGUCGCCGGUUCGAGUCCGGUAAUACGCA
rnacentral:tRNA from 1 species